rnacentral:lncRNA from 1 species
GGUGAUGGUACUCAUAACUUUUGAUUUGCUCUUUUUGUUUGUGGUGGUAUGGUACUCAUAACUUUGGAUUUACUUGUUGCAUGUUUAAUGUAUUGAUGGUACUCAUAACUUUGCAUUAACUUGUUGUAUGUUUGUUGUGGUGAUGGUACUCAUAACUUUGGAUUUGCUUGGUUUUUUUUAUGUGGUGGCAUGGUACUCAUAACUUUGUAUUAACUUUUUGCAAGAUUUAUGUGGUGAUUGUACUCAUUACACUGUAUUUACUUGUUGUAUGUUU